GGCUGCGGUAAUUUGACCGUGCAAAGGUAGCAUAAUCAGUAGUCUUUUAAUUGAAGGCUGGAAUGAACGGUUGGAUGAAAGAAAAGCUGUCUCUUACACAGAUUAGAAUUUGACUUUUAAGUGAAAAGGCUUAAAUAGAAUAAGGGGACGAUAAGACCCUAUAAAACUUUAUUUGACCUGUGGUUAUUUGUUAAAAUCUUACUUAAAAUUUAAAAAAUCUCAGUCAUAUUUUGUUGGGGAGACAUAGAUAUAAUUGGUAACUGUCUGUUAUAAAAAUAUAGUUAUUACUAGAACUUGAUCCCUCCGUGGGGAUAAUAAGAAUAAGUUACUUUAGGGAUAACAGCGUAAUUUUUUCUGAGAGUUCUUAUCGAAGAAGUUAGUUGCGACCUCGAUGUUGAAUUAAAAUUUCUAGCAGGUGUAGCCGCUUGCUAAGUGGGUCUGUUCGACCUUUAAAAUUUU
rnacentral:rRNA from 1 species